rnacentral:lncRNA from 1 species
CUUUUACUGUUGUGAGGAUUUUAUAUUCCUAUUUCUUGUCUGAAAGGUCAAUUUGAGAAAUAAUAUCCCAUUAGUGGACAGCUAUAACCAAGCAUAGCUUUUGUGUCUGUCCUCUCAGUGCUCUGGGCCCAGUCCUAGAUUAGUCCCAUUUCAACUCCUCAAGCAUUAUGUAAACUUUUCCUUUCGUUUGAUCAUUCCUCUUUAAAUGGAUUUGGUCAAAAAGGAAGAUUCAUGAGUAUCCUUUUUAUCUUAAACAAAACAAGC